rnacentral:tRNA from 1 species
UGGCGAUCUUGGGGCGGCCGACGAUCCCGCUGCGCCGGUCAGCGGCUGGACUUCAUGGCGGCCAGACGGGAUUCGAUCUCCUGGUCGCGGG